CCUACGGGUGGCUGCAGUGAGGAAUAUUGGUCAAUGGGCGCGAGCCUGAACCAGCCAAGUCGCGUGAGGGAAGACGGUCCUAGGGAUUGUAAACCUCUUUUGUCGGGGAGCAAAAGACGCCACGCGUGGCUGUCCGAGAGUACCCGAAGAAAAAGCAUCGGAUAACUCCGUGGCAGCAGCCGCGGUAAUACGGGGGAUGCGAGCGUUAGCCGGAUUUAUUGGGUUUAAGGGGUGAGCAGGCGGAAGAUCAAGUCAGCGGUAAAAUUGAGAGGCUCAACCUCGUCGAGCCGUUGAAACUGGUUUUCUUGAGUGUGCGAGAAGUAUGCGGAAUGCGUGGUGUAGCGGUGAAAUGCAUAGAUAUCACGCAGAACUCCGAUUGCGAAGGCAGCAUACCGGCGCUCAACUGACGCUCAUGCACGAAAGUGUGGGUAUCGAACAGGAUUAGAUACCCGAGUAGUC
rnacentral:rRNA from 1 species